rnacentral:tRNA from 1 species
GGAGGAAUGGCAGAGCGGUUUAAUGCACCGGUCUUGAAAACCGACGUACCGAGAGGUACCGGGGGUUCGAAUCCCUCUUCCUCCG